ACUGCUAUCGGAUUGAUACUAAGCCAUGCGAGUCAUUGUAGCAAUACAAGGCAGACGGCUCAGUAACGCGUAGUCAACCCAACCUAUGGACGGGAAUAACCUCGGGAAACUGAGAAUAAUGCCCGAUAGAACACUAUGCCUGGAAUGGUUUGUGUUCCAAAUGAUUUAUCGCCGUAGGAUGGGACUGCGGCCUAUCAGUUUGUUGGUGAGGUAAUGGCCCACCAAGACUAUUACAGGUACGGGCUCUGAGAGGAGUAGCCCGGAGAUGGGUACUGAGACACGGACCCAGGCCCUAUGGGGCGCAGCAGGCGAGAAAACUUUGCAAUGUGCGAAAGCACGACAAGGUUAAUCCGAGUGGUUUCUGCUAAAGGAACCUUUUGUCGGUCCUAGAAACACCGAUGAAUAAGGGGUGGGCAAGUUCUGGUGUCAGCCGCCGCGGUAAAACCAGCACCUCAAGUGGUCAGGAUGAUUAUUGGGCCUAAAGCAUCCGUAGCCUGCUUUGUUAGUUUUCGGUUAAAUCUGUACGCUCAACGUACAGGCUGCCGGGAAUACUGCAAAGCUAGGGAGUGGGAGAGGUAGACGGUACUCGGUAGGAAGGGGUAAAAUCCUUUGAUCUAUUGAUGACCACCUGUGGCGAAGGCGGUCUACCAGAACACGUCCGACGGUGAGGGAUGAAAGCUGGGGGAGCAAACCGGAUUAGACACCCGGGUAGUCCCAGCCGUAAACCAUGCAAACUCAGUGAUGCAUUGGCUUGUGGCCAAUGCAGUGCUGCAGGGAAGCCGUUAAGUUUGCCGCCUGGGAAGUACGUACGCAAGUAUGAAACUUAAAGGAAUUGGCGGGGGAGCACCACAAGGGGUGAAG
rnacentral:rRNA from 1 species